UACGUAGGGACCAAGCGUUGUUCGGAUUUACUGGGCGUAAAGGGCGCGUAGGCGGCGUGACAAGUCACUUGUGAAAUCUCUGGGCUUAACCCAGAACGGCCAAGUGAAACUGUUGUGCUAGAGUGCAGAAGGGGCAAUCGGAAUUCUCGGUGUAGCGGUGAAAUGCGUAGAUAUCGAGAGGAAUACCAGAGGUGAAGACGGGUUGCUGGGCUGACACUGACGCUGAGGCGCGAAAGCGUGGGGAGCAAACAGG
rnacentral:rRNA from 1 species